rnacentral:rRNA from 1 species
GACAGAGGGGGCAAGCGUUGCUCGGAAUUACUGGGCGUAAAGCGUGCGCAGGCGGUCCGCUAAGACCGAUGUGAAAUCCCCGGGCUUAACCUGGGAACUGCAUUCGAGACUGCAUUACUAGAGUAUGGGAGAGGGAAGUGGAAUUUCCGGUGUAGCGGUGAAAUGCGUAGAUAUCGGAAGGAACAUCAGUGGCGAAAGCGACUUCCUGGACCAAUACUGACGCUCAUGUGCGAAAGCGUGGGGAGCAAACAGG